GCACAUACAAUUACAAUGUUUUUCACUUUUGUUUUCAAACAUUUCUAUUAAGAAUGUUGCACAUAAGUGUUACAGAGAAAUAAUCAAUGAUAUAUCUUUCAACAAUGUUAAGUGAUCUAUAAAACAUAAAAUAUACAACAUGUCUCUCUACCCAAAUAAUCCGGGAAGGACUGUAUCAGUAAUAGUAGAACGAAAAUAGGAUAUCAGCCAACCAAGCAUAACACUUGUCUUUGGUUUGCCACUUCUUCUGAGAAGUAUCCAGCAGAAAUCCUAAUUACUCACUUAGAUGUUAAAGUAAAGGUAUCUUCUGCCUGGGUGCUUCAGCAAGGAAAGAUGGUACUUACUCAAAAUUUGAUCUUGGACCCUAGUAAACACACGGAUCAUAUGCAUGUCAUCAGAUUUAUACCUGCAACAUUCAUCCCAAGUUUCCAAGGUGACCCGGAAGUGAAAUAGGGUGAAGGGAAGGUGUACUCCCUAUAAGUGGCCUCACCUUAUUUUUGAGACAAACACCAAUUUAGAUUGAACAUUUGCUUUUAUUUUCUGUUCUGUGCCUGGCACAGACAAAUUCUUACAUCUAUGAAUUUGCUGCAAUUUAUUGAUUUUAUAGACAUAUUACACUUUCUACAUGUGACGAUACAGCCUUAAUAUCGUACGUGGAUAUUCUUUUUACUUUACUUGCACCACUAAACUGCUCCACUAAAUGCUAGGACUCCUCUUUGGUAGCGUAUGCAGGAUAUACUGAGCUGAUUGUAGCGGAUGGCCCUGUGCUGUCCUGAACAAUUCACGUAUUUCUAUGCAUUCGUAUGAAAAUGGCAAAGUCUAUGUAUUUAAUGUAUUGGAUUCGUCUGAAUGUUAGGUAGUUUCAUUCCCUUAGUUUAUUCGAAUGAAACUACCGAACAGUCAGACCUCCCAUGUGUGAAGUGUAUUCUCAAUUAUCCGUUGCAACAUUGUUGCGAACAGGUAAUUGGCAAGUGAAGUAGCCGUCCUUUGUUCUCGGGGGUGGCCGCCAUUCGAAAAACGAACACGUGGCGGCGGCCAUUUUAAAACUCCCGAACAGCGGUGUUUUGCCGUCCCCUCGUUCGGUAGAUAGAAAGAACCGAACGAGGGGAUUCAGGCGAACCCUCCCUAGCCUCUAUAGCUAGAGGCUUUCGUGCAGUUAGUUCCCUUCCUCAAGGGCCGACCGCAGGGCCCAUUCGCAUGGAACCGCAUUCGGCUGUCUCAGUCAGUGCGUCGGUCAUUUUAUUCCCUCCAUAGAUUUCCCGAACCCCUGGUCUGAUCUGGGUGAUUUUUGGAUAUGUUGUUCACCCUGAUCAGGGCUAUCAGGGGGUUUAGGAUUUAAAGGGAUACCCCUACGUUUAGGGGUACAUCCAGAAACGGGGGGAAUUACUGUACUGGAGAAGGGGAUUAUGAUGCAGGCUGAGGGGAGGAGAUGUGUGGGAGGUUACCAGGACAGGAUUGGCUAUACUAAUGAUUGUAAAUCCCUCCCUUGCAUGGGAGCAUGCUUUAAAAGGAUAGUGCGGGUUAAAGCUUUCAGUUCUGCUCCUGAAACUGUGUGUCGUCCAGUUAUUGGGAUUGCUGUGGGGAUAUUGCUGUUAUUUUACCUGCUGGAAACCUUGCCUGUGGAUUUACUAUUUACUUGUUCCUGAGCCUCACUUGGAUUAUAAGCAGAGAUAACCUGGGGAAUAUUGCAUCUCCGCUACACUGAUAUCUGGUUACUAUAUGAUAUUCCAUCCAUCCAGUCUUCUGGAAAUACUCCUAUUAGUAAUUACUCUAUAGAGGACGGUAGCGGAGAACUAGUCUAGCAGGGACCUUUCUUCGCUGGUUUUCACCAAAAUGACUCAGGAACAAAGAAGAUGCUUCACAUGAACAGGUAAAUACAGCAAGGCAAGACAAGAUUCUCUCAACACCUCCCCAGUAACUGGACGACACUCAUUCUGCUACAGGGACAAUGAAUAUCUUGUGACAGCUCAAGGGACAAACUAGCUUAUUUCUUGGCAACUCAACAGAACUCAGUCUCUGACUCAGUUUAUAGCGUCCAGAUCCAGCUUACAAAGAUCACAGCAUACAGUAAAAUAAACAUUAAACCAAACUUUCACCAGUGGGAACACAGAACAGGUCACAGGGAGAGAACCCCCCAUGCCAAUACACCCUGAUAACAACACAGCCCUUUGCUGCAGUAGAUAGACUUGCUGGGUCCCACAGCAGGUGGUCACUUAUAGUGCAGUAUUUUACUUGAUUAGCCCCAAAAAAAUAAUUUCACACCUAACUAUAAACUACCCCAUUUUGGUACUUUCAUUUUUGUUCCUGUUCGGUAGAUAAAACUACCGAACCCCGACCACCCCCUGGCUCAUUUACUUCAAAGCAACCUGAAAAUUUAGUGCUCUCCCUGUGUGGCUGCCCUUUGUUUCUUGAGUUGUGUCCAAGAGAGUUUGAGAGUUGAGUGUUAGUCCCAGAGUGUCCUGAAUCUCUCUCUCUGCAUGUCCGAAUAUGAAUGCCCAAACUCUACCAACUACCCUCUCUCUCCUUUGUCCUAACUUUUAAAGGGCCAGACUCUCUGCACAUCAUUAGUUGAUAAAGCCAAUAGGAAACUGUAGGUGGGUUCAAUCUGUGGAUCGCAAUUUAGGUAUUUGAUCCAUAGAGGGCAGUCUCGCCUUACUAAACCUUCCUAUCCAGGAAAGAGUUAACUUUUCCUGAUGACAAUUUUGGCUUAUCUAAAAUGACUACCAUUACGUAGAUUUGCUGUCAGUUCAAAGCGUUUAUCUCAGUCUUUGUGGCAACUACUUUGAUCGUAAUUUGUAAAAUUGACAGUUCUAAACUCAAUUUCACCCCUUACUUACAAU
rnacentral:lncRNA from 1 species